UGAGGAUACGCGGUAGAAAAUGAAUGAAUAUAAGAAUUGUAAAGCGUUGUGUUUACUGAAUCUAUGCAAGUUUCUGAGUUGCUCAUCUCUAUAUGGCUCACCAUGCAUAAAUGAAGAAGACAUAGAAGGGCGAAGACACAGCCAAAGUCAACCACCUCCAGUCCCGAACAAACCAAACUUACUGAGUGAGAAGGUGUUGAGGCCCACGCCUGACAGAGCCAUUCCGCAGACAAAGCGACACAGGCAGAAGACGGGGAAGGAUGUGGCGAAAGCAGCACACGUCCCAGACACCGCCAUCAGCAAGUGAGCAAUGAGCAGCAGAAUGCGUCGGCCAAAUCUAACAUGGAGAGUCAGCAUAGAUCACUAUCGACUUCCCAAGACAAUGGAUCCCACAAGAACACCACCCAUGUAGACGGUUUGGCCCAUUUGCUUCAAAGAGCGUAGAUCACACACCAAAUCCCACUGAACACACAAUAUAACACACAACUUUUAAGAACCCCUGUAAUAAUCCAAUCCAGGCAAGAACUGUAGCCAUACCUCAUUUAUGAUAGUGGAGGUCAUUUCAGUCAUAUUAUAGGACCAUCCAUCAGUACAUUCCUGCAAGCCAACGUCAGCAUCAAAUUCUUCCUGCUCCUGUGAUUUUAAGGUACCAUUCCUCCCCAGAAGGUGCCACUGUGGAGCAGCGUAGCGUCGACAACGCUGAUGCUUGCCAGCUUGAUCCAACGGCACUGUGAUUGCCAGCGCUUCUUGUGGGGUGAGCUGGUAUCGAGAGAGAUUUGCGUGCGCCCUGCAGUAGUGAGGAGGCACGGCCGCCACAAAGUUCUGCAGCAGGUACCACAAAAGGAUACGAGUGAUGGCAACAAGGAGAAAGGUGAUGACACCAAUAGGAAACUAGAAACUCACACAGAACUUUUGAGUGACACAUCACUAUUUAGUGAUGUUUGUGGUACAUGGACUUUCAUUUAAGGGAAGAUCCUGAUGCUGAUAUAACAAUACUAAUAAUAAGUAAAAGGAAGAGGCUGACCUUGGAACUGAAAUAUGGUCUAAGAUGUAUUCCCAAGCAACAGCACGGUUCCUGGUGCUGAUUCCAUUUUCAUCUAUGCUGGAAGCACUUACCUGCAGAAAUCCAGAGGAAUGCUGUCUCAGUGUCCCAACACCUUAAAAUCACUCACAGCCACAUCAAGUCAAGUAAAAUAGCUGAAAGGGCCAAAACAAUGAAAAGGAAGUUGCUGCUGCAUGUUCAUGCAAAUAAUCUGCUUUCAAAUUUUCUCCCCCUGAACUUUGGAUUAUUGAAAAUGCUAUGGAGGGCGGCUGCACGGGGUAUUAGCAGCUCACUCGGUUAACACUGAGGUAUAAUGCAGAGACUUAGUUUAGGAGCAAAGUCUCAAAGAGGGAUCCAGUGGGCAGAUACUGCAUGUUAGUUUGGCCCAUUCCCACUCCAUGCUCCUCAUUGGUUACUUAAUGUGUGUGUGUGUGUGUGCACAAAAAACAUUGUCUUGAAAUGUAUUAUUUAUCAUUGAUUCCACCAAUAAAAUGCCUUUUUAAUCAUGUAAUGUUUUAAUAGGAAAAGAGAUACCAACUAAAUAUAUUUCUCACUGUAAUAGAUAACUGAGGACUAUUUGGAAAAACUGACAUGUCAAAUAUGUGCAAAUCUGCAUAAUAUUAACCGUCAUUUUUGUAGAUAAACGUUUUUGACUUUUUGUCCUGCUAAAUAGUUCUGAGGAAUGCAUGCACUUGUGUAAUGAUCAGCAUGAGAUGUCAGGCUGAAUA